UGUAUACAAGGUCUAGGGAUGGGAAUCGAACCCACGACCUUCCGCUUACCGGGCAGAUGCCAUGACCACUAGGCUAUAGGCUC